CGCUAGCGGCAGGCCUAACACAUGCAAGUCGAGGGGUAACAGGGAGCUUGCUCCGCUGACGACCGGCGCACGGGUGCGCAACGCGUAUGCAAUCUACCUCUUACUAAGGGAUAGCCCAGAGAAAUUUGGAUUAAUAUCUUAUGUGAUAUUAGACUGGCAUCGGUUUAAUAUUAAAGGUUACGGUAAGAGAUGAGCAUGCGUCUCAUUAGUUAGUUGGUAAGGUAACGGCUUACCAAGACUUCGAUGAGUAGGGGUCCUGAGAGGGAGAUCCCCCACACUGGUACUGAGACACGGACCAGACUCCUACGGGAGGCAGCAGUGAGGAAUAUUGGACAAUGGACGGAAGUCUGAUCCAGCCAUGCCGCGUGUAGGAAGACUGCCCUAUGGGUUGUAAACUACUUUUAUACAGGAAGAAUAAGAUCUACGUGUAGAUUGAUGACGGUACUGUAAGAAUAAGGACCGGCUAACUCCGUGCCAGCAGCCGCGGUAAUACGGAGGGUCCGAGCGUUAUCCGGAAUUAUUGGGUUUAAAGGGUCCGUAGGCGGGCUGUUAAGUCAGAGGUGAAAUGCUGCGGCUCAACCGUAUGCACUGCCUUUGAUACUGGCGGUCUUGAGUUAUAGUGAAGUGGCUAGAAUAAGUAGUGUAGCGGUGAAAUGCAUAGAUAUUACUUAGAAUACCGAUUGCGAAGGCAGGUCACUAACUAUACACUGACGCUGAUGGACGAAAGCGUGGGUAGCGAACAGGAUUAGAUACCCUGGUAGUCCACGCCGUAAACGAUGGAUACUAGCUGUUCGGUUUUCGGACUGAGCGGCCAAGCGAAAGUGAUAAGUAUCCCACCU
rnacentral:rRNA from 1 species